AAGUCGUAACAAGGUUUCCGUAGGUGAACCUGCGGAAGGAUCAUUAUUGAAUAAACUUGGUUGGGUUGCUGCUGGCUCUCAGGAGCAUGUGCACACUCAUUCCAUUUUAACCACCUGUGCACUUACUGUAGGCCUGGAAUGAAACUUUCAAGGAAACUUGGUUUGAGAACUGCUGUGAAGCUGUUCUUGUGUUUCAGGUCUAUGUUUUUUCAACAUAUACUCCAUAACAAGUAAUAGAAUGUUAAUUUUGGGCCUUUUGUGCCUUUAAAUCUAAUACAACUUUCAACAACGGAUCUCUUGGCUCUC
rnacentral:misc_RNA from 1 species